AUUGAACGCUGGCGGCAGGCCUAACACAUGCAAGUCGAGCGGAUGAAGGGAGCUUGCUCCUGGAUUCAGCGGCGGACGGGUGGGUAAUGCCUAGGAAUCUGCCUGGUAGUGGGGGAUAACGUCCGGAAACGGGCGCUAAUACCGCAUACGUCCUGAGGGAGAAAGUGGGGGAUCUUCGGACCUCACGCUAUCAGAUGAGCCUAGGUCGGAUUAGCUAGUUGGUGGGGUAAAGGCCUACCAAGGCGACGAUCCGUAACUGGUCUGAGAGGAUGAUCAGUCACACUGGAACUGAGACACGGUCCAGACUCCUACGGGAGGCAGCAGUGGGGAAUAUUGGAAAAUGGGCGAAAGCCUGAUCCAGCCAUGCCGCGUGUGUGAAGAAGGUCUUCGGAUUGUAAAGCACUUUAAGUUGGGAGGAAGGGCAGUAAGUUAAUACCUUGCUGUUUUGACGUUACCAACAGAAUAAGCACCGGCUAACUUCGUG
rnacentral:rRNA from 1 species